rnacentral:rRNA from 1 species
GCUUGCUCUCGGGUGACGAGCGGCGGACGGGUGAGUAAUGUCUGGGAAACUGCCUGAUGGAGGGGGAUAACUACUGGAAACGGUAGCUAAUACCGCAUANNNUCGCAAGACCAAAGUGGGGGACCUUCGGGCCUCAUGCCAUCAGAUGUGCCCAGAUGGGAUUAGCUAGUAGGUGGGGUAACGGCUCACCUAGGCGACGAUCCCUAGCUGGUCUGAGAGGAUGACCAGCCACACUGGAACUGAGACACGGUCCAGACUCCUACGGGAGGCAGCAGUGGGGAAUAUUGCACAAUGGGCGCAAGCCUGAUGCAGCCAUGCCGCGUGUGUGAAGAAGGCCUUCGGGUUGUAAAGCACUUUCAGCGGGGAGGAAGGCGAUAAGGUUAAUAACCUUGUCGAUUGACGUUACCCGCAGAAGAAGCACCGGCUAACUCCGUGCCAGCAGCCGCGGUAAUACGGAGGGUGCAAGCGUUAAUCGGAAUUACUGGGCGUAAAGCGCACGCAGGCGGUCUGUCAAGUCGGAUGUGAAAUCCCCGGGCUCAACCUGGGAACUGCAUUCGAAACUGGCAGGCUAGAGUCUUGUAGAGGGGGGUAGAAUUCCAGGUGUAGCGGUGAAAUGCGUAGAGAUCUGGAGGAAUACCGGUGGCGAAGGCGGCCCCCUGGACAAAGACUGACGCUCAGGUGCGAAAGCGUGGGGAGCAAACAGGAUUAGAUACCCUGGUAGUCCACGCCGUAAACGAUGUCGAUUUGGAGGUUGUGCCCUUGAGGCGUGGCUUCCGGAGCUAACGCGUUAAAUCGACCGCCUGGGGAGUACGGCCGCAAGGUUAAAACUCAAAUGAAUUGACGGGGGCCCGCACAAGCGGUGGAGCAUGUGGUUUAAUUCGAUGCAACGCGAAGAACCUUACCUGGUCUUGACAUCCACAGAACUUUCCAGAGAUGGAUUGGUGCCUUCGGGAACUGUGAGACAGGUGCUGCAUGGCUGUCGUCAGCUCGUGUUGUGAAAUGUUGGGUUAAGUCCCGCAACGAGCGCAACCCUUAUCCUUUGUUGCCAGCGGUUAGGCCGGGAACUCAAAGGAGACUGCCAGUGAUAAACUGGAGGAAGGUGGGGAUGACGUCAAGUCAUCAUGGCCCUUACGACCAGGGCUACACACGUGCUACAAUGGCAUAUACAAAGAGAAGCGACCUCGCGAGAGCAAGCGGACCUCAUAAAGUAUGUCGUAGUCCGGAUUGGAGUCUGCAACUCGACUCCAUGAAGUCGGAAUCGCUAGUAAUCGUAGAUCAGAAUGCUACGGUGAAUACGUUCCCGGGCCUUGUACACACCGCCCGUCACACCAUGGGAGUGGG